UACGGAGGAUGCGAGCGUUAUCCGGAUUUAUUGGGUUUAAAGGGUGCGUAGGCGGACGCUUAAGUCAGCGGUAAAAUUGCGGGGCUCAACCUCGUCGAGCCGUUGAAACUGGGUGUCUUGAGUGGGCGAGAAGUGCGCGGAAUGCGUGGUGUAGCGGUGAAAUGCAUAGGUAUCACGCAGAACUCCGAUUGCGAAGGCAGCGUACCGGCGCCCAACUGACACUGAAGCACGAAGGCGUGGGUAUCGAACAGG
rnacentral:rRNA from 1 species